rnacentral:rRNA from 1 species
GACGAACGCUGGCGGCGUGCUUAACACAUGCAAGUCGAACGGUAAGGCCCUUCGGGGUACACGAGUGGCGAACGGGUGAGUAACACGUGGGUGAUCUGCCCUGCACUUCGGGAUAAGCCUGGGAAACUGGGUCUAAUACCGGAUAGGACCACUGCCUGCAUGGGUGGUGGUGGAAAGCUUUUGCGGUGUGGGAUGGGCCCGCGGCCUAUCAGCUUGUUGGUGGGGUGAUGGCCUACCAAGGCGACGACGGGUAGCCGGCCGGAGAGGGUGACCGGCCAAACUGGGACUGAGAAACGGCCCAGACUCCUACGGGGGGCAGCAGUGGGGAAUAUUGCACAAUGGGCGCAAGCCUGAUGCAGCGACGCCGCGUGAGGGAUGACGGCCUUCGGGUUGUAAACCUCUUUCAGCACCGACGAAGCGCAAGUGACGGUAGGUGCAGAAGAAGGACCGGCCAACUACGUGCCAGCAGCCGCCGUAAUAC